GGACUACUGGGGUAUCUAAUCCCGUUUGCUCCCCUGGCUUUCGCGCCUCAGCGUCAAUGCCGGUCCAGGAUGCCGCCUUCGCCACCGGUGUUCCUCCAGAUAUCUACGCAUUUCACCGCUACACCUGGAAUUCCGCAUCCCUCUCCCGGAUUCAAGCCUUCCAGUAUCGGACGCAGUUCCCGGGUUGAGCCCGGGGAUUUCACGUUCGACUUAGAAGGCCGCCUACGCGCCCUUUACGCCCAGUAAUUCCGAACAACGCUUGCCCCCUCUGUAUUACCGCGGCUGCUGGCAC
rnacentral:rRNA from 1 species